rnacentral:rRNA from 1 species
GACGAACGCUGGCGGCGUGCUUAACACAUGCAAGUCGAACGGAAGGGCCCUGCUUUUGUGGGGUGCUCGAGUGGCGAACGGGUGAGUAACACGUGAGUAACCUGCCCUUGACUUUGGGAUAAGUUCAGGAAACUGGGGCUAAUACCGGAUAGGAGCUCCUGCUGCAUGGUGGGGGUUGGAAAGUUUCGGCGGUUGGGGAUGGACUCGCGGCUUAUCAGCUUGUUGGUGGGGUAGUGGCUUACCAAGGCUUUGACGGGUAGCCGGCCUGAGAGGGUGACCGGCCACAUUGGGACUGAGAUACGGCCCAGACUCCUACGGGAGGCAGCAGUGGGGAAUAUUGCACAAUGGGCGGAAGCCUGAUGCAGCAACGCCGCGUGCGGGAUGACGGCCUUCGGGUUGUAAACCGCUUUCGCCUGUGACGAAGCGUGAGUGACGGUAAUGGGUAAAGAAGCACCGGCUAACUACGUG